rnacentral:rRNA from 1 species
AAAUAGAUACCCCGGUAGUCCACGCCGUAAACGACUGAGUGCUAAGUGUUAGAGGGUUUCCGCCCUUUAGUGGCUGCAGCUAACGCAUUAAGCACUCCGCCUGGGGAGUACGGUCGCAAGACUGAAACUCAAAGGAAUUGACGGGGGCCCGCACAAGCGGUGGAGCAUGUGGUUUAAUUCGAAGCAACGCGAAGAACCUUACCAGGUCUUGACAUCCUCUGACAACUCUAGAGAUAGAGCGUUCCCCUUCGGGGGACAGAGUGACAGGUGGUGCAUGGUUGUCGUCAGCUCGUGUCGUGAGAUGUUGGGUUAAGUCCCGCAACGAGCGCAACCCUUGAUCUUAGUUGCCAGCAUUCAGUUGGGCACUCUAAGGUGACUGCCGGUGACAAACCGGAGGAAGGUGGGGAUGACGUCAAAUCAUCAUGCCCCUUAUGACCUGGGCUACACACGUGCUACAAUGGAUGGUACAAAGGGCUGCAAGACCGCGAGGUCAAGCCAAUCCCAUAAAACCAUUCUCAGUUCGGAUUGU